UACGGAGGGUGCAAGCGUUGUCCGGAUUUAUUGGGUUUAAAGGGUGCGUAGGCGGUUCUUUAAGUCUGGGGUGAAAGCCCGUUGCUCAACAACGGAACUGCCCUGGAAACUGGAGGACUUGAGUACAGACGAGGGUGGCGGAAUGGAUGCUGUAGCGGUGAAAUGCAUAGAUAGCAUCCAGAACCCCGAUUGCGAAGCAG
rnacentral:rRNA from 1 species